UGGGGAAUUUUGGACAAUGGGGGAAACCCUGAUCCAGCCAUCCCGCGUGUGCGAUGAAGGCCUUCGGGUUGUAAAGCACUUUUGGCAGGAAAGAAACGUCAUGGGUUAAUACCCCGUGAAACUGACGGUACCUGCAGAAUAAGCACCGGCUAACUACGUGCCAGCAGCCGCGGUAAUACGUAGGGUGCAAGCGUUAAUCGGAAUUACUGGGCGUAAAGCGUGCGCAGGCGGUUCGGAAAGAAAGAUGUGAAAUCCCAGAGCUCAACUUUGGAACUGCAUUUUUAACUACCGGGCUAGAGUGUGUCAGAGGGAGGUGGAAUUCCGCGUGUAGCAGUGAAAUGCGUAGAUAUGCGGAGGAACACCGAUGGAGAAGGCAGCCUCCUGGGAUAACACUGACGCUCAUGCAAGAAAGCGUGGGGAGCAAACAGG
rnacentral:rRNA from 1 species